UGAAAAAGAUUUGGAAAAGCUCUCCUCCCUCACCCGAACCCUAGUUGCCGCCGCUGCAGUUUCUUCUUAUUGCGUCGAUUGUCGUUUACCACCACUAACAUAUCCUUCAUUGCAAUGGAAGAAGGAGGCAUAGGAACACUCUCGGAAGUUCUCCAAAGCCUCAAGAAGUUAUUGCUUAGGUAUCGCGACGGUCUAGAACAGCUUGAGCGUCUCGAGAAUUCCACCUCUACCUCCACUGCCAGCCUUAAUUCAGAACUUUCGUUUACUAUAAAGAAGUUUAUCAACCAGAUUCAAUCCCUCUGCGUUGAGAUGGACCGCCGUUUUGUUGCAGCCAAACCCUAACACAACCUCUGUAAAAGAGCUUAGAGAUUUGAACCAUUCCUCAACAUCAGCCAAGCAAGGGAAUUCCAUCCACCAUUUUGAAUCACACCUCUAUCCUUAGAGAUUUGAACCAUCCCAAUAUUGUCAGGUUGUUGCAAAUUCUAGCUACUGAGGAAUAUAUGUUUGGUGUGUGUAAAUCUUGAAAAAUAGUACAUCACUAAUCCCGUGCUUAGCAUUCACACUUUCGAAAGAUCUGUUCUACAUCAAGCUCUUUUUGGAAUUUGUGCACCCAAAACUUCUAUUCAUAAGGCUCAUCUGAGCUAUACAGCACCUGAACUUUUGAUGGGCUCAACCAAUUACUCAACUGCAGCUGAUAUCUGGUAUAUGGGCUGCAUAUUUUCUCACAUCAUUAAGCGCCAACCGCUGUUCAAUGAUAUAGACAAGCAUAGGGUAUUGGCUGAGAUAUUCUGAUCUAUACUCAUUUUGCUAUAAAACAUGAGAUGGUCACUCUUUUAGAGUCUUGAGUAAAGCAACAUGUCAACAAUAAUUUAUUCGUUAUAAUAAAGACUAGAAUAAAGACUUGUUGGAUUCCAUGCUACCUCAAUGAAGCUCCUGAAUUUAACUCUUCCAUUGAUGGUGCCAAUAAAAUAACAAAACUGUAAAGAAUUGUUCUUUCCUGAAAUUUGGGGGCAAUUCAAUGCUGCUAAGAUAAAUUAGAAGUUGAUUUGUGCAUUGUUGGAAAGUCAAUUAUGGCCAUCGAGGAGUCACGUUCGGCGGGAGAGAACUAGUUUUCUUAAGGAGCAAAU